AGGCGUCGACCGGCGGAAUGGGUCGAGUAACGCGUAUCCAACCUGCCCCUGAGUAAGGGAUAGCCCACUCGAAAGAUGGAUUAAUACCGUUAUGGUCUCCUUUGCAGACAUCUAAUUAGGAGUAAAGAUUUAUCGCUGAGGGAUGGGGAUGCGUCUGAUUAGCUUGUUGGCGGGUAACGGCCCACCAAGGCAACGAUCAGUAGGGGUUCUGAGAGGAAGGUCCCCCACAUUGGUACUGAGACACGGACCAAACUCCUACGGGAGGCAGCAGUGAGGAAUAUUGGUCAAUGGGCGCAAGCCUGAACCAGCCAAGUAGCGUGCCAGGAAGACUGCCCUAUGGGUUGUAAACUGCUUUUUAUACGGGGGAUAAAGUCAGGGUCGUGACCCUGUUUGCAGGUACCGUAUGAAUAAGGACCGGCUAAUUCCGUGCCAGCAGCUGC
rnacentral:rRNA from 1 species